GCGGAAUACAACAGAUGAAGCAGACCUUAGUGAAAUGAUUACUUACAAAUAGGCUCUAAUCAAUAGUGCAAAAAAGGUAUUAGGUGAACAAUAGACAGGUUGGACUCUUUCUCAACUCUCACAAAACAAUGUAAUAACAUACAACAACAGUCGCACAAUAAGAGGGCAACAGCUAGGAAGAAGGUGAUGAAGACAGGUGUGGGAGAGGUGCUGCCCUUCAUCAAGUGGAUUGUGUACAGGAAAAUCAGGUGACCCGGUACGACAAACAGGAGCAGCACCUGUGCAGAGCGAUGAUUGGCUCCUGUCAGAGAUAAACCCUACUACAUACAACGCCAACCAAGUCUCCAUUCAAGACAAGCAUCUCAUGUCUACAACUGUCAAUCAUUCCCUGCCAUGUAUCAUCUCCAUUACCGGAAUCUAGAAAGACUUUUAAACUGAACUGCAUCUCUGCCUCCAGCUGCUCAGUAGAUGGGCAUCACUGUAACCCUCACCUAAACCUCAGUGUUUCCCUUGGGGACCCUUAUUAUUGGAGGACAUGUAGGAAAUGUAUAAAAGCACCCCGUGGUCAUGUUCAGGUGAGAGCUUUUUACUGUGAAUGUCCUUUGUGUGUACAGGUUGUAUGGUGUUGCUGGUGGUUUAUUUCUGCGAGGAACCAUUUUGUGACUAUGUUGUCUUGGAGAAAUGUUUGGGGUGUAGUCGAUUAUUCUGAAUGGUAUAUAUUGACUUUGACCAUCAGUGAGUUUUUCCCUGAGUGACAAUAUGUCCGAUUUUCAUUAUGUAAGGCCACUGCAAUCAUGGCCUUCUAUUUGAAGUCACUUUGCUUGGAGCGGCAUUGCUGGUUUGAGGUACAGGCUGUGCGUUGCUGGUUUGAGGUACAGGCUGUGCGUUGCUGGUUUGAGGUACAGGCUGUGCGUUGCUGGUUUGAGGUACAGGCUGUGCCCUCCAAAAAGGGCUCUGUCUAAGUAAAGUCAUUUCUAUUUCUACAAUAUCUAUUGUUUAUGUCAAUUCUGUGGUUAACUGUUCUUUCUUUUGUACCAUCAGAAGUACAGUAUUGUUUGUCACUGUUUUUGGUAAUCUUCUGAACUUGGUCAAUUGAAUUUCUGUGAAAGCACUCUUGUAUUUCAGAAAGCUGUCUAGUGGAAGUAACAGAUCUAUGAAGUCAUUUUGGUGUACUCUUGUUAAUGUGUGUUAUUUAUCUGUGUCAAACAAGCAAACCUAAUCCUCAGCUUUACUAAACUUUGCUUGUUCUUUAUCUGCCUCUGUAGUGUUUUCCUUUAAUGGGUCUAGAACCUGUGUCUAAUGUUUUUAGAUGUUACAAUUUCUCAGAACUUUUGCCCCAACCCAAUAGGUGGCCUGUCAUGAACCUGUGUGUCUUAUGUUCUGGUUUAGUUGUUCCCCUAAUGAAACAGUAACUGGGGUAGUCUUGAAGUUGUGCCAGUUUAGCUAACCCUAGUCGGCAGGUGUUACCACAAUAUGCUACAGUCAUGUCUGCAAAAACACUACAGUGAAUGCUAUAGUAUACUACACUCAUGUCUGCAAAAAAACACAACAGUGAAUACUAUAGUAUAUAAAUAUAAUACUACUGUAUUUAUACCAUAGUAUACUAUAGUAUUUUUUAAUGUGGGUUAGCUGUAAAUGUGUAAUAUGUUGGAAGUUUGAACUAGGACCCCUUUUUUUGUAUUCUCAUCAAAUUUCUAAAUGCAUUGUAUCCACAUUUGUGCUUAUAUUGUGUUUUUAAAUAGUCAAAUAAAAAAGUAAUUCAAGGGA